rnacentral:lncRNA from 1 species
UUGAAAAAAUUAGACCUUAGAAGAAGCUUUCAAAAUGGAUAUAUUAUUCCGAUUAAAUCUUAUGAAGCCGCAUCCAAAACCUCAAAUAGAACCUCAACAAGCAACAAACGAGAAUGAAACUCGAAGAAAAACUGAAACCUACGAGAAAAUUCCAAACGAAAACCCAAUUCGUGGAUUCCAAACUAGGCACAAAUGGCUCGCCAAAAAAAAAAAUCGAAUUUGCCCAUUUUCUCUCGAUCUCCCUUCACCCUUCCAUUCCCGAUCCCACCCUCUUUAACUUCUUUUUAUUUUUGCUUGAUUUCCUUAUUUUUGUGUGUGUCCUCUCUUACCUUAAAUCUCCUCACAGUUUUUGCUCUUCUCUUUCUCCCUUUCCUGUGUGUAUGUAGCUGUGACGAGUGAGUUUUUCAUGAGAUAUAUGUGAUGUGGAUCUUCACCUAUCUCUGCAGAUCUCUGGAAUGGAGAGUGUGAGUUAAUUGUUGGUGAGUGGGGUGCCUAGGUAAAGAAGAAUGAAAUCUUUAUGUGUGUGGUCUUCUCUAUGGAGGGUGUGUGAAUCGAAUUGUAUGUGUGUGUGAUGAAUUCUCCAUCAACCACUGUUUACUAUUGUUGUUCUCCCUUUUACGAUUCUCGAUUGGGUGUGGCCUUAUAGAGGUGCGCAUAAAUCUGUACAUAUUUUUGUUCUACCAAGAUGAGGGAAGAAAAGGAAUGAAAGAUUCCCCCCUCAAAAUGGCAUUUUCCAGUGUAUCCAAUUCAUC